UACGUAGGGUGCGAGCGUUGUCCGGAAUUAUUGGGCGUAAAGAGCUCGUAGGCGGUCUGUCGCGUCGAUCGUGAAAACUUGGGGCUUAACCCUGAGCUUGCGGUCGAUACGGGCAUGACUGGAGUUCGGCAGGGGAGACUGGAAUUCCUGGUGUAGCGGUGAAAUGCGCAGAUAUCAGGAGGAACACCGGUGGCGAAGGCGGCUUUCUGGUCUGUAACUGACGCUGAGGCGCGAAAGCGUGGGGAGCAAACAGG
rnacentral:rRNA from 1 species